rnacentral:rRNA from 1 species
UACGUAGGGAGCAAGCGUUGUCCGGAAUCAUUGGGCGUAAAGCGCGCGUAGGCGGCCCUGUAAGUCCGCUGUGAAAGUCAAAGGCUCAACCUUUGAAAGCCGGUGGAUACUGCAGGGCUAGAGUCCGGAAGAGGCGAGUGGAAUUCCUGGUGUAGCGGUGGAAUGCGCAGAUAUCAGGAGGAACACCAAUAGCGAAGGCAGUUCGCUGGGACGGUACUGACGCUAAGGCGCGAAAGCGUGGGGAGCGAACAGG